GCGCAUGCGUGUUCUCAUCGCAGACACUGCAUGAAGUGCGUGGCGUGGCGUCCGGAAUGAGAAGGAAAGCGGCUCUGGUUCCUUCAGGAUGCGCUUCAGGGGGCACCGCGGCGGUUUGGGGACGACUUGGAGCCCCGUCCUAGGGAGAAAACAGCUCUUGUCUGUGGCCCUGACUGCUUAGGCGGGAGCUGCGUGCGGCUCAGCUUCUCCGGGGCAUUGUUUUCUACGCGAUAAGUCACUCUCACCCAAGCUGGAGCACCGUGGCACAUCACAGGACCAUGUAUAUUGGAAUAUUGGCUACCUACAGCUUUGCAGCACAAUUUGAUAUCAGGAAUUGUGGGUUGGCUACCAGUACCCCGGCUACCGCGGGCUGCAGUACCUGCUGGAGAAGGGAGACUACAAGGACAGCAGCGACUUCGGGGCACGUCACCCCCAGGUACAGUCCGUGUGCCACGUCCACGAUAUGCAGUGGUCCCAAUGUUGGCGCCUUCCACUCCUCCAACUAGUACCUUCCCCACCAUGCCUUCUUCCCAGGACCCAGGCCUGCUGCCCAGGAACCCUCCAGACCAACCAGAGAGUGAGUGAAGUAUGACUUGCAACUUGUCUGCUGUGGGUCUUUGAUCUCCCCUGGCAGCUGGGGGGGUGUGUGCGCACGCACGCACGCGCAUGCCUGUGUGUGUGUGUGAUAGAAAUAAGAAUUGGCAAGUAUCUGGGCUAGGAAUAGGGCAACAGAACCCUUAGGGAGUCUUAUGGUUCUCUGCAGCUGCUUAGUUCUUAACUGUGUGAGCUUGGACACAGUACCCAACCUCUCUGAGCCUUUGUUUCUUCACCUGACUUGCAAUUCCCUUGCCUCUUGAGUGACUGGCUGGUCUCGGGAUCCCUGAACAUUUGUGAUCUGCCUGCCUCAGCCUCCCAAAGUACUGGGAUUACAGACAUGAGCCAUUGCACCCGGCCAACCUUGAAGAAAUUAUUUCUAAUCCACAGUCACAAAGAAAUUCCCUAAUACAUUUUUCUCUAAACUUUUUAAACAUUUGCUCUUUACAUUUGCAUUCUUAAUCCUUCUGGAGCUGAUUCUUGUAUAUGGUGUAUGGUACAGAUUCAGUUUUUGGUUUUUUUUCUCUUUGGAAGUCCAGUGUCGAUUCUUGAAGGAGUCCAUUUGCUGCGCUGCGGCGCAGUCACCUUGCUGUCCUAUCCCCUUCCCCACAGGUGGGGUGAUUUUGUGGGCUUUUUCUGUUCCUGUAGUCUGUGUAUCCCUGCACUCUUGCCACAUUGUUAACGACUAUUGCUUUGUAGUCAGUGUUGAGGUCCCUAAAACGGGGGCCCUCAAACCCUGGGCCUCCCAGGGCCUGAAAUGGGGGUUGCACAGCAGGAGGUGGGCAUUACAGCCUGAGCUCCACCUCCUGUCAGACCAGCGGUGGUAUUAGAUUCUCAUAGGAGUACAAAUCCUAUUGUGUGAACUGCACGUGCAAAGGAUCUAGGUUGCAUGCUCCAAUGAGAAUCUAAUGUCCGCUGCCCACAGCCUGUGAAAAAUUGUCUUCCACAAAAUCGAUCCCUAGUGCCAAAACAUUUGGGGACCACUGCCCUAUAACAUGAUUCUCUUUAGGAAUGUUUUAGAUGUUCUUUCCCCUUUAGGACUCCAUUUAGAAGCGUCCCCUCACAUUUGGAAAAGUGGAAAACCUUGUCGAAUGAGCAAAAGUGGUUAAAAUGAUUAUCAUAAAGGUAGAAACCAGUGAGUGCUCCAUAUACACCGUAGAAUACUAUGCAGCCAUAAGAAAGAAUGAGUUCAUGUCCUUUGUGGGAACAUGGAUGAAGCUGGAAACCGUCAUUCUCAGCAAACUAACACAGGUACAGAAAACGAAACACCGCAUGUUCUCACUCAUAAGUGGGAGUUGAAAAACGAGAACACAUGGACACAGGGAGGGGAACAUCGCACACCCAGGCCUGUCGGGUUGGGGGGCAAGGAGAGAGCAUUAGGACAAAUACCAAAUGCAUGCAGGGCUUAAAACCUAGACGAUGGGUUGAUGGGUGCAGCAAACCACCAUGGUACAUGUAUACCGAUGUAAGAAACCUGCACGUUCUGCACACGUAUCCCAGAACUUAGAAAAAAACAGUUAAGUGCUCAAUAAAUGUUACUGUUAUCUAUAUCUUCAUUCUUCAACCAAUACCUACUGCGUGCCUAUUUGGAUACUUGGCUUAGCACCUGGGUGAUGAAAUAAUCUACAACAAAUCCCCAUGACACGAGUUUAUAACAAACCUGCACAUGUACCCCCGAACCUAAAAUAAAAGUUAAAAAAACAGAAUCCACACAAGUCUAAGCUACUUCUUUGAGGAAAAGACUCCAACUGAGAUCUCAAGGAAAAGUAGAGGUUGCAGGGCUAAAGAGGCUAAAGAAGAGCGUCCCAGAUGAGAGUGGCAUGUGAAAGGCCCUGUGGUGGGAGGAGCCUGGUAGCUCUGAGAAACUCCACAAAGGCACGGUGGUGGCUGGAAUGCAGAGAUGUGGGGGCACAUGGAAAACCUUGUUAAAGUGGUUAAAAUGAUUAUCAUAAAGGUGGAAACUAAUAAAUGGCUAAAUAAAUGUUA